rnacentral:tRNA from 1 species
CCGCCGUUGGGCCGGGCCACCCCCGGCCGUGCGGUGUCCGGCGGGGUGCCGGCCCCGACCCGCGGUUGGGUACCCGUGGCCGCGGUC